UUUCCGUAGGUGAACCUGCGGAAGGAUCAUUAAAAGUAAUAAGUGCUCCAAGCGCUCAUUAUGAAACCCAUCUGUGUAUUUUACCUGUUGCUUUCGUGGGGCGUUGGCUUCGGCCGCCUCCGAUGAGGGUGAGAGCCCAGACUCGGGGAGUACCCACGGGAGGUAUUAUUAAAACCAUUGCUUUCAAUGAUGUCUGUCUGAAUUGUCUCAAUGAGAAAUGUUAAAACUUUCAACAACGGAUCUCUUGGUUCUC
rnacentral:misc_RNA from 1 species